rnacentral:lncRNA from 1 species
GUUAGCUGCAUUGUACCCUGUGAAGCUUGAAAUGCCUCGGAGAGAUUUCUCUCAGCUCCUCUUACCUCCAGCCUUCUGAAGUUGCCUGCCUUAAGUUUUAGGAUAUCUCAGGUACCUGGGAAGGAUCUCUCUCAGCUCUGCUGGCAGCCUUUAGGGUAUUACUUGUGGAGACCUGCGGGAAAGAGUUAUUGGGAAAACAGCCUGUUCAUUUCAUGGAAGGACGUUUUGGAAAAAUAGAUCCAGACCUACAUAGAAAGGUAUGACAGCUACCUUAAUUCAUCCAUCAAGACCUUUCUUCUUAAUUGUGAAUUACCAACUAUAGAUCAUCAGAGAAUUUAAGAAAAUCGACAAACUAAAUGCAAAGAAACAAGCUAAUGAAAUAGAACAAAUGACUAAAGGAAACAGAAGUAAUUCAAUGAACAUAAGAAAACUUAAAAAAUAUUCUAAUUACAUUCUCAGAAAGAUUUGAGUGCACACUACAUACAUUAGAAGAGAAAAAUAAAGGAAAAUCAGACUGCUAUGAAAACCAAGUUUCCCACUUCAUGCUAAAAAGUGGUAACAUUGCAUGUCAGACUGAAGAAAGACACCUGAGUCUAUGUUGAGUUGUGUUUGGCCCCUUGCAAGUACAGAUGGGGUUUCACCAUGUUGGCCAGGCUGCUGUCGAACUCCUGACUUCACGUGAUCCACCUGCCCCUGCCUCCCAAAGUGCUGAAAUUACAGGAUUCAUCAUUUCGCAUUUCUGUAACCAUGAAUGAGGGUGUUUGUUUUCUUAGAACUGUCCAUGUGGAACAUCCUGUCAGCCUCAGCUUUUUAACAAUCAGGUAAUUAAAAAUGGUAUUUCAGUACAGUUUGGUUUGUUUUUCUAUAAUUUUAAAUAAAGGUAGUCUUGUUUCAUAUGUUUAAGGAUCAUUUUUAUACGUUGCAUAUUGAUCAUAUUUUAUAUAAUUUCUCCGCUUUUCUAAUGGGUUAUUGGUACUUUAAUUUCCAUUUUUAAAAGUUCUUCAGGUACUAGAUAUUAG